AUGCUGUCGAACGACCAGAACCAUGUCUGGUAGUGGCGUACUGCUCAGUAACACGCUUGCUAACCUACCCUCAGGACGGGGGCAACCCCGAGAAAUUGGGGCUAAUCCCCGAUAGGUGUGGUGUCCUGGAACGGUAUCACGCCUAAAGGUCCCAACAGCAUGUUGUUGUUACGCCUAAGGAUGGGGCUGCGGCCGAUCAGGCAGUUGGUGAGGUAAUGGCUCACCAAACCUUUGACCGGUACGGGCCAUGAGAGUGGUAGCCCGGAGAUGGAUACUGAGACAAGGAUCCAGGCCCUACGGGGCGCAGCAGGCGCGAAACCUCCUCAAUGCACUGAAGUGUGAAGGGGUUACCUCGAGUGCCGNCUGAAGAAGGCGGCUUUUCCUNGGUCUAAAAAGCCUNGNGAAUAANCGGGGGGGCA
rnacentral:rRNA from 1 species